AGCAGCCGCGGUAAUUCCAGCUCCAAUAGCGUAUAUUAAAGUUGUUGCAGUUAAAAAGCUCGUAGUUGAAUUUCGGGGUCAGUAGGUUGGUCGUGCCACCGGUACGUACUGGUCUCACUGAUUCCUCCUUCCUGAAGAACCGUAAUGCCAUUAAUUUGGUGUUGCGGGGAAACAGGACUGUUACUUUGAAAAAAUUAGAGUGUUUAAAGCAAGCUAACGCUUGAAUACAUUAGCAUGGAAUAAUGAAAUAGGACGAUCGAUCCUAUUUGUUGGUUUCUAGGAUUGACGUAAUGAUUAAUAGGGAUAGUU
rnacentral:rRNA from 1 species